rnacentral:rRNA from 1 species
CGAGGUGACGCGUAGCGGGGGUGGAAAAAGUAGCGUAAGAUGCUCUGGGCGUCGGAGCAGAGAAGGAGGAGGGUGGGCUGGGCUAGAGGAGGAUCCAAAGCGAGAGGUGGUGGCGCCUUGCUUGGCCUUUACCGCCGCGCCGUGGAGUCUAGGCCGCAGGGCGAGGAGGUUCGGGCGGAGCGCCGGUGGCUUAGGCGCCGGCAGCGAGUCCAAGGUUUUCGAGACAUACCACCGUGGCCGUUGAUACGAUCACGCAACAAGGAACGUCGUCGGUUGCGUUUAAGCAACCUUUUUCAACUUAGACUCUAAGAGCUACAACAUCCCCGUAGGUUCUUCUCGGGAUACAAAAGAGUUAAGUACUUCCUGUGUAGUCACGGAUUUCUUUGGUCCCACUUCCGAUAUUGACUUUAUAAGAGACUUCGGCCCAAAUGACUGUAGUGUUUCUUUAAGAACAGACGUAACCGUAGGUUACCUUCUGACUUUAUACAACUUGCGUAACGACUCUCUAAACAACUAAACUGGUACCGUGUAUCCCCCCUCCACUUUCAACAACAGUCCUGACAACAAGGUGAAGGACUCUUCCUCCUCUUUCUUGAAUUCCUCUGGAACGCACUAUAGGAACCCUUUCUGUUUUGGUAGAACCAACUUGUUUUCUAACUGGUCCCAUAGUACCCUCCUGACCACUAACUUAAACCCGUCUUCCACAAACUGUACAGCUAGUCCUGAUCCCGCUUCGUUUACCUCCGUAAGAACUCCGUUGGGAAACUGUAGAUUGACGGAAAACCUAGGUUUAGUUGUGGUCUCACGUCACCAACGCGGCGACUUCCAAGGGAGUACGGACGAAGAAGCUACACCAGAACUUUAUUUUCGAAAGGAAAUGUUCUCUUGUAGUGAGACAAAAUAAAACAGAACACCCAAUCCUUCUUCGGACGACUUGUUAGAAAUUAAAGGAAAGAUGGUUUUUGUACCUAUUUUUGUACUUCUCUCCAGUACCUUUCAAAAAUUAAGUUCACAAACAUUAAAAACAAACUUCACGAGAGAAAAUGAGCAUAAGUC